GUCUACGGCCAUACCACCCUGGACACGCCCGAUCUCAUCUGAUCUGGGAAGCUAAGCAGGGUCGGGCCUAGUUAGUACUUGGAUGGGAGAAGCAAACACCUAUAAAAG
rnacentral:rRNA from 1 species